UGGGAGCUUGCUCCCUGAGAUUAGCGGCGGACGGGUGAGUAACACGUGGGUAACCUGCCUGUAAGACUGGGAUAACUUCGGGAAACCGGAGCUAAUACCGGAUAAUUUCUUUUCUCGCAUGAGAAGAGAUGGAAAGAUGGUUUCGGCUAUCACUUACAGAUGGACCCGCGGCGCAUUAGCUAGUUGGUGAGGUAAUGGCUCACCAAGGCAACGAUGCGUAGCCGACCUGAGAGGGUGAUCGGCCACACUGGGACUGAGACACGGCCCAGACUCCUACGGGAGGCAGCAGUAGGGAAUCUUCCGCAAUGGACGAGAGUCUGACGGAGCAACGCCGCGUGAGCGAAGAAGGCCUUCGGG
rnacentral:rRNA from 1 species